UGGGGUCGGGCGACCCGGCUGGCGGAUGGCGUCCCUCCUCUCUACCCUCCCCCUCCCGCUGGCGACGACUCUCCCCGCGGCUGGUCACCCGCAAGCGCGGGUGACGGUCCUGGGCGCGAUCUUCCCGGAGCCACCUUCGUCUGGCGUCUCUCUCCCUCCUGCCCCAUCUGUGCGCAUCCCGGCCCCCAGCCCCACGGGCGCCCUUGUUGCUCGAGCUUUCCCUCUCGGGGCUGCGCGCGCUCCUGUCCUUCUUGGGGCUUCAGGCCGCCGUGCCGUCGCGCGCCCGCGGCCCCGGCCUCUCCCUGGAUCGCGCUCUCUCCUCUCCCUCCCUCGCGCGCCCCCUCUCCCGUUACUCUGCCCCCCCCCCACCGACGCGCGUGCGCACUCCAUCACCCGUCGGGAGAGUGCGCCACAAGGGCUCCUGCGCUCUCACCCCCAUCUCCUGUCUUUGCCUCCCCCUCCUUCUCUUCCAUUCCAUGGCUUUGUGCCCCCACUGCGAGCAAGUCGGUUCUCCAGCUCCUUUCCCCGUCUAUCAAGAACAAGUAGGCUCCAUAAAAAUACAGACUCACCAGUUCCUGCUUUGAUGUGACAUGUGACUCCCCAGAAUACAGCUUGCUUCUGUAGACCAGCUCCAACAGGAUUCCAUGGUAGCUGGGAUGUUAGGGCUCAGGUAAGUAACCUUCCUUUUUUUUUUUUUAGUAUAUGUCCUGGUUUGGCCAUCUGUUUUUAAAAAAAAAAAAAAAGGAAAAAAAAAGAUACACUACUCUUGGACAGUAUAAAACUACCCCAAAGACUAAAGAGAUAACUGUGCCAAACUGUGCCAUAUAAUAAAAAAAAGUCACUUCCCUGAGCCCUGAAAGGUCAGUUUGGGUAGAGUUACUUGGUAGCUACAGCGUGAUCUGGGGGCGGGUGUCAGAUGAGAGCCGGAACUGGUGAUCUGCAACUUCAGUUCACCUAGAAGCAGGCAAACACCUGUCCUGAGCUCUUCACCUGCAUUAGCUGCUGCUGUUGCCUAGUGGUAUUCAGCCUCAUGCUUUGCUUUGGUUUUGAGUCAGUCACUUACUGUUCAGUAUUAGUGAGCAGUAUAAAGCAUUUUUAGAUAUGGAGACUGGUGUGUGCUCCCUUCAAAGGGCACCCUUCCAAUAGUGUCACAGAACAGCAAAGCCCAUGGCUAAUAGCUUGUCCCAUGGAAACAAAAGAAAGCAUCCAGACCCUCAUCUGUCUCUUGCACUCUAGAGCAAGAUGAGUGCUUUUUGAAAAGUAGAGCGCCAAAUCAUUCUAGGUCUGAUACUACACUUUAGAUUACUUUGGUGCCACUGUGUGGACUUUAGUUUUGUAGAAAUGACUUAUUCCUUUUCAACUUUUGUCAGGAUCAUCCUCUCUGGCUGAUUUCUUUUUCAAUCAGUAGUCACUCCGCAUUUGAUACUUUGACACUUGUAUUUCAAAGAUCCUGUGUAGUAAAGCAGAAUCCCAUUGAAUUUUCCUACUUCUUCUCCUAC